UUGUAUUUAUACUCUCCAUAAAUAAUUAUAAGAUCUAUAUAAUCUUGUAUAUGAAGAAUGGAAAGUAAUAUAAAACCAAACUCUAAAAUUUUAUUGAAACUUCAACAGAUUUUAACAUUUAGUUAAAUAUUUGGAUCACAAAAAAUAAUAUUAUAAAAAUUAAUUUUUGUAAAUCUUAUGUAAUAGAAGGACUGGUAUAAUU
rnacentral:lncRNA from 1 species